AUUCAAAGCAUAUGAGGCUUACUAAAGAAAGGAUUUUUAAAGAAACUGUUAAAAGAUAUAGCUGUUCUUCGUGCUACUCAAAAAAAUCAUGCAGAUAUUUUGGAUUCUCUCCUGGAAAGAAAUAAUAAAAGCAGCACUGCUGCUGAGGAACAGCAGGAAGAAAUAAAAUUUGACAUAAUCUUGCCACUAUUGAAUGAAAAUGAUCUAUUUCGUUUGGAAAAGGCUCUGCUUGAUCCAGAAUGUAGAAAUUGCUUGUUUGCCAAGUUAAAAAGCUAUGGAGGAAGUAGUUUUGCUGAUCAUGCACGAAGAAUUUUGAGAUAUGUCUUCUCUGAUGCCCUUGCAGAGCAAUACAGCUGGCUUGGAAAUAAAGAUAAGAAGAAAUUUUGUGAUUUAAAAAUUUCACAAAUAAUUGUUGAUGCUGUUUUUGAACAGAAUGGAAGUGAUGUAACAAGAUCCCAGAUUGAAUUUGCAAUUAAAUCAUGGUUAAGACAUGCAAAAGAAAGAAAAGAUAAAAAGGCACGGAAUACUACAUUAAAAUAAGAUUACUAUUAAAAGAAUAUUAAUAAAUUAUGUAAUUAUGAUUGAUUGAAAGUAAAACCUAAGCACCUAGUUGGAUUAACUUCUUCUGCAGCAUUGGAGACAUACAGAUAUUUAUUUUGAUAAUCAAAGGUCAUGAGACAAUUCAAAGGUUUUAUGUCAAAAUCUAAUUUUUUCACCCCAACAAAAUACUGUAAUAUACCACAUUCAGGACACAUUCAGUGAUGGGUAUUAUGGAACUAGCAUUGCAUAAUAUUACAAAUCGUUUUAUUUUAAUUAAUGAAUCAAAGAAUGAAAAAAAUUACACAUAGUGAUUCUGCAAACAUAUGUAAUGGAAAAAAUUUAUUCAGUUUACUUAGGUUUUUUGCUUUGAAGUCUUGAAUUUUACUAAAUAAAGUUCAAAUAUUGUGUUGCUUUGCAGAUUCCAGUUUUUCUUUAGAAAAAUAUAUAAUUUUUUAAAACAUGAAUAUUUAUUAUUUCUCCAGUAUUAUUUAAUUUUUAUGAUGAAUUUUCCAAGUAUAUAUAACACUUUACCACCGUCAUUCAAGGUGAUUUUGGUUGUUGUCUUCAUCAUUCCCCCUUACCUGAGGAUUCAAGAGAUUUUGAAUUGUGCUGUCAGUUAAUUCUUCCACAAUUCAUUCCUUUUGCACAAUUUGUUAAAUAAUUUUAUUCUCAGAACGCUUGAUCUAUGCAAUGUUUGAAGGAUAUUUAACUGUUUCCAGUAACUCAUUAUUUGGUCAUUGAUCUUCAGUACUUUCACCUUUUUCGAUAGAAUUUCGCUUCAUGACAUUUGGCCAUAAUUUUUGCUAAGCUUUUGUUAAUGUUGUGAUACUUACAUGCUUUCAUGUAAUAGUAGCAAUGAAAAUCGCAUCUUUUGUGUUUGACUGAACUUGGAAGCCUUUGAUGUUGCAAUCAGAAUUUAAGAAAUAUUGCACAUAUUUCUGUGUUUAAGAAAUAUUACUAAAAAAGGGGGGAAUGCAUUUUGCAUGUAAAGUUUUGAAUAACGCCUUGGUCAAUAGGUUGGAUUAAUAUCAUCCAGGUUAUGUACAUUAAUAAGGUCACAUGUUUGCAUUUUAUUUCCUUAUCACAUUUUUAUAAUAUUUUGAAAAUAUUCUAAAUUAAUCAAGAUGAAAAAGUAAAUAAACCCUCCAAAAAACUACCUGAAACUGGCAAAAAGCUUCCAGGCCUUUUUGAAUAUUGCAAAAUGAAAUGCCCACUUUACUUUUGUUGUGCUUUUGUUCAGUAGGAAUAUUUCAGAAAAAGAUGCCAGGCUAUUAGACAUUUAUUAUAGUUAGGGUCAUAACAUCUUAUUGACAUAUCAUACUAUUGACCAUAGUUUUUUUUUUUUUUUUUUUUAAUCCUUACGAGACAUUAGCAGUAAUCAGCAUAGUUUUCGUAUUAUCAUCGCAUUACUCAUGAAAUUCAUUUUUAUUUUCAAAAAUACUUCCUCAUCUAUCACCAAGGCAACGUUUUGAAAUUUUCUUUAGUCUGUAAAGUGGAUUCUCUUUUGUUUGGAUGCGUUUAUAAUUGCUGAUUUCCUAAAAAAGGGGGGGAAUGCAUUUUGCAGCAUUGAAUAUUUCUCUAGAUAACACAAAUAAAUAGUUUAGCUAAAUAAAUAUUAAAAAAAAUAAGCUCUGUUAAAUAUUACAUAUGUAAAAUGCUAAGUAUUUAAAUGUGAAAGAUGGUCAAAUAAAUCAUUGGAGCAAAACUUAAUUUUCUGGUAUUCAGGUACAGUGUAUUUAUUGAAAAGAUAUUUAGUGCAGAAGGGGUUAGUAAUGUUUGCAAGUAAAUAGAUUCUAAAUGGCAGAAGAAAAUUUUUAUUUGAGUGAAAUGAAGAUAUUUUUGAUAAUGUUCAUUUUUAUGUGUACCUUUUUGCUUUGAUUGUUUUGCUGAUAUAAUGAUUCUGUGGAAUUUUUUUUUUCUUUCUCUGUGUGUAUGUAUGGUUCCUUAUAUAUUAUAUGUAACUUUAAAAACAAUAAAUUUAUAAUGUAAA
rnacentral:lncRNA from 1 species